rnacentral:rRNA from 1 species
AUUGAACGCUGGCGGCAGGCUUAACACAUGCAAGUCGAACGAUGACUCUCUAGCUUGCUAGAGAAGAUUAGUGGCGGACGGGUGAGUAACAUUUAGGAAUCUGCCUAGUAGUGGGGGAUAGCUCGGGGAAACUCGAAUUAAUACCGCAUACGACCUACGGGUGAAAGGGGGCGCAAGCUCUUGCUAUUAGAUGAGCCUAAAUCAGAUUAGCUAGUUGGUGGGGUAAAGGCCCACCAAGGCGACGAUCUGUAACUGGUCUGAGAGGAUGAUCAGUCACACCGGAACUGAGACACGGUCCGGACUCCUACGGGAGGCAGCAGUGGGGAAUAUUGGACAAUGGGGGCAACCCUGAUCCAGCCAUGCCGCGUGUGUGAAGAAGGCCUUUUGGUUGUAAAGCACUUUAAGCAGGGAGGAGAGGCUAAUGGUUAAUACCCAUUAGAUUAGACGUUACCUGCAGAAUAAGCACCGGCUAACUCUGUGCCAGCAGCCGCGGUAAUACAGAGGGUGCGAGCGUUAAUCGGAAUUACUGGGCGUAAAGCGAGUGUAGGUGGCUCAUUAAGUCACAUGUGAAAUCCCCGGGCUUAACCUGGGAACUGCAUGUGAUACUGGUGGUGCUAGAAUAUGUGAGAGGGAAGUAGAAUUCCAGGUGUAGCGGUGAAAUGCGUAGAGAUCUGGAGGAAUACCGAUGGCGAAGGCAGCUUCCUGGCAUAAUAUUGACACUGAGAUUCGAAAGCGUGGGUAGCAAACAGGAUUAGAUACCCUGGUAGUCCACGCCGUAAACGAUGUCUACUAGCCGUUGGGGUCCUUGAGACUUUAGUGGCGCAGUUAACGCGAUAAGUAGACCGCCUGGGGAGUACGGCCGCAAGGUUAAAACUCAAAUGAAUUGACGGGGGCCCGCACAAGCGGUGGAGCAUGUGGUUUAAUUCGAUGCAACGCGAAGAACCUUACCUGGUCUCGACAUAGUGAGAAUCUUUCAGAGAUGAGAGAGUGCCUUCGGGAAUUCACAUACAGGUGCUGCAUGGCUGUCGUCAGCUCGUGUCGUGAGAUGUUGGGUUAAGUCCCGCAACGAGCGCAACCCUUUUCCUUAUUUGCCAGCGGGUUAAGCCGGGAACUUUAAGGAUACUGCCAGUGACAAACUGGAGGAAGGCGGGGACGACGUCAAGUCAUCAUGGCCCUUACGACCAGGGCUACACACGUGCUACAAUGGUAGGUACAGAGGGUUGCUACACAGCGAUGUGAUGCUAAUCUCAAAAAGCCUAUCGUAGUCCGGAUUGGAGUCUGCAACUCGACUCCAUGAAGUCGGAAUCGCUAGUAAUCGCAGAUCAGAAUGCUGCGGUGAAUACGUUCCCGGGCCU